rnacentral:misc_RNA from 1 species
GAUGAAGAACGUAGCGAAAUGCGAUACUUGGUGUGAAUUGCAGAAUCCCGUGAACCAUCGAGUCUUUGAACGCAAGUUGCGCCCGAAGCCAUUAGGCCGAGGGCACGCCUGCCUGGGCGUCACACGUCGUUGCCCCCCCAUCUACUCCUUCGGGAUUGCGGGGGGCGGAUGAUGGCCUCCCGUGCGCCUCGUCGCGCGGUUGGCAUAAAUGCCAAGUCCUCGGCGACGCACGCCACAACAAUCGGUGGUUGCGAAACCUCGGUUGCCCGUCGUGUGCGGUCGUCGCGCAUCGAGGGCUCGAAAAAAUUGCCGGGCUCCGGCUCGGCUUUCAACGCGACCCCAGGUCAGGCGGGGUUACCCGCUGAAUUUAAGCAUAUCAAUAAGCGGAGGA